rnacentral:rRNA from 1 species
UACAGGGGUCUCAAGCGUUAAUCGGAAUUACUGGGCGUAAAGCGUGCGCAGGCGGUUAUGCAAGACAGAUGGGAAAUCCCCGGGCUCAACCUGGGAACUGCAUUUGUGACUGCAUGGCUAGAGUACGGUAGAGGGGGAUGGAAUUCCGCGUGUAGCAGUGAAAUGCGUAGAUAUGCGGAGGAACACCGAUGGCGAAGGCAAUCCCCUGGACCUGUACUGACGCUCAUGCACGAAAGCGUGGGGAGCAAACAGG